rnacentral:rRNA from 1 species
GCCUGCCCAGUGACUACGGGUUCAACGGCCGCGGUAUUUUGACCGUGCAAAGGUAGCGCAAUCACUUGUCUCUUAAAUAGAGACCUGUAUGAAUGGCUAGACGAGGGCUUAACUGUCUCCCCCCUCCAGUCAGUGAAAUUGAUCUAUCCGUGCAGAAGCGGGUAUAAUUAUACAAGACGAGAAGACCCUUUGGAGCUUAAGGUACAAAAUUCAACCACGUUAAACGACUCUAUAGAAAGCAAGAACUUAGUGGCGAAUGAAGUUUUACCUUCGGUUGGGGCGACCACGGAGGAGAAAGAAGCCUCCGAGUGGACUGGGUUAAACCCCAAAGCUAAGAGAUACAUCUCUAAGCCGCAGGACAUCUGACCAAAAAUGAUCCGACUGAUAAAGCCGAUCAACGAACCAAGUUACCCUAGGGAUAACAGCGCAAUCCUCUCCCAGAGUCCAUAUCGACGAGGGGGUUUACGACCUCGAUGUUGGAUCAGGACAUCCUAAUGGUGCAGCCGCUAU